AGACUUUUAAAUUCUUCAGCAUCAUCAACCCAUGUGCCAUUUGAAUUUUUGAGGCAUUGAAUGAUCUUCCUUCUACGCCUUUGAACUGAUUUGACAUGAUAGAUUCUAGUAUUCCUAUCUCCAUCAGCUAGUCAUUUAUGUUUAGAUCUUUGAAAUAUCCUAUUAGUUUCUCUUGUUGCAAGAUUUUUGCCAAAUCUUUUUGUAAAGUUUUCUCCAAACUAACAAGCCCAAUAUGACUCCUUCCUUCCUGCACAACUUUUUGAAUUUUUUUUUCUUUCUUCUAACAGUUUUCAUAUUCCAAUUUUCCAAUUGGUAAUUUGGAUUUUGAGCUCUUCCAUGUUAUUCUUGAGACUCAAAUUCUUAUCCCAAAACUGACUGUAUCAUGUCUUGAUAUAUUUCCUCUAACAUCCAGACGCAUUUGAAUUUAGAAUAUUUAGGUGUAUUUCUACUGGUGUUAGCAGUGGAUGGUGAUCAAAGAAAUCAAGACACAUAAGCACCUUAACUUGCGCAUCUAUUGCAGAAGCCAAAUAUCAUUGCUCAGCAUUCUGUCAAGUCUUUCCUAUAUUCUUAGACCUCAAUGACGCAUAUGACCUCCCUUUCAUAUAUUCUUAGACCUCCAUGACGCAUAUGACCUCCCGGUUGAAUUGUAAUUCCUUCCGUCAAAAUAGGUUGUUCGACAGAGUAAGGAAGUAUCGAACCACCUAGUGUAUCGAGUUGUGUUAGUGUGUCGAAGUGUCGAAGCAUGUUGUUUUACACAGGAUUCCGACUUAUGCCUUCUUUUAAUAGUUUUAGCUAUUUUGGAUUUUUAUAGUUUUGAGUUUUGACUUGAGAUCCAAGUUAACUUAAAUUUAUAAAUAGAGGAAGUAACCCUUAUUUUUGUAAUGAAGUGAAUAGAGUAUUUAUAACAUUGUAUUCACUAUAUUUUACAUUUGUAAAGUGAAUAAGAAGUUUUCCACAGUUUCUGGACCGAGAGAAACUCUGCAGAAU
rnacentral:lncRNA from 1 species